UCCUGCCGGAGGCCAUUGCCAGUGGAGUCAGAUUUAGCCAUGCCAGUCGCACGAGUUCAUACUCGUGGCGAAAAGCUCAGUAACACGUGGCCGAUCUCCCCCACAGCGACGAAUACCCUCGGGAAACUGAGGCUAAUUCGUCAUACCCCUCUCACGCUUGAACGCCGAGAGGUCAAAACGCUCCCUUGGAGCGCUGUGGGAUGAGGCUGCGGCCGAUUAGGUAGACGGUGGGGUAACGGCCCACCGUGCCCAUAAUCGGUACGGGUCGUGAAAGCGAGAGCCCGGAGACGGAAUCUGAGACAAGAUUCCGGGCCCUACGGGGCGCAGCAGGCGCGAAACCUUUACACUGCACGCCAGUGCGAUAAGGGGACUCCAAGUGCGAGGGCAUAUCGUCCUCGCUAUUCUGUACUGUAGGGUAGUACAGGACCAAGGGCUGGGCAAGACCGGUGCCAGCCGCCGCGGUAAUACCGGCAGCCCAAGUGAUGGCCGAUCUUAUUGGGCCUAAAGCGUCCGUAGCUU
rnacentral:rRNA from 1 species